rnacentral:rRNA from 1 species
UACGUAGGGGGGCUAGCGUUGUCCGGAUUUAUUGGGCGUAAAGAGCGUGUAGGCGGCCAUGUAGGUCCGGUGUGAAAAACUCGAGGCUUAACCUCGAGAUGUCAUCGGAAACCAUUUGGCUAGAGUCCGGAAGAGGAGAGUGGAAUUCCUGGUGUAGCGGUGAAAUGCGCAGAUAUCAGGAGGAACACCGGUGGCGAAGGCGGGGUCUCUGGGCCGAUACUGACGCUGAGGAGCGAAAGCGUGGGGGAGCAAACAGG